rnacentral:rRNA from 1 species
GAUGAACGCUAGCGGCAGGCCUAAUACAUGCAAGACGAACGGUAAGAUUUUUAGCAAUAAGAUACGAGAGUGACGUACGGGUGCGUAACACGUAUGCAACCUACCUUGUACAGGAGGAUAGCUCGGGGAAACUCGAAUUAACCCUCCAUAACAUCAUGGUGUGGCAUCACAUUAUGAUUAAAACUUUGGUGGUACAAGAUGGGCAUGCGUCUGAUUAGUUAGUUGGCGGGGUAACGGCCCACCAAGACGAUGAUCAGUAGGGGACCUGAGAGGGUGAUCCCCCACACUGGCACUGAGAUACGGGCCAGACUCCUACGGGAGGCAGCAGUAGGGAAUAUUGGUCAAUGGAUGGAAGUCUGAACCAGCCAUGCCGCGUGCAGGAAGAAGGCGUUAUGCGUUGUAAACUGCUUUUGCCAGGGGAUAAAAUGACCGUGCGCGGUUAAUUGAAGGUACCUGGUGAAUAAGCCACGGCUAACUACGUGCCAGCCGCCGCAGUAAGAC